AUUGAACGCUGGCGGCAGGCCUAACACAUGCAAGUCGAACGAGUGGCGGACGGGUGAGUAAUGUCUGGGAAACUGCCUGAUGGAGGGGGAUAACUACUGGAAACGGUAGCUAAUACCGCAUACCAUCGGAUGUGCCCAGAUGGGAUUAGCUUGUUGGGGGGGUAACGGCUCACCGAGGCGACGGGCCCUAGCUGGGCUGAGAGGAUGACCAGCAACACUGGAACUGAGACACGGUCCAGACUCCUACGGGAGGCAGCAGUGGGGAAUAUUGCACAAUGGGCGAAAGCCUGAUGCAGCCAUGCCGCGUGUAUGAAGAAGGCCUUCGGGUUGUAAAGUACUUUAAGCGGGGAGGCGUUACCAGCAGAAGAAGCACCGGCUAACUCCGUGCCAGCAGCCGCGGUAAUUC
rnacentral:rRNA from 1 species